rnacentral:rRNA from 1 species
GAUGAACGCUAGCGGGAGGCCUAACACAUGCAAGCCGAGCGGUAUUGUUUCUUCGGAAAUGAGAGAGCGGCGUACGGGUGCGUAACACGUGUGCAACCUGCCUUUAUCUGGGGGAUAGCCUUUCGAAAGGAAGAUUAAUACUCCAUAAUAUAUUGAACGGCAUCGUUUAAUAUUGAAAGCUCCGGCGGAUAGAGAUGGGCACGCGCAAGAUUAGCUAGUUGGUGAGGUAACGGCUCACCAAGGCGAUGAUCUUUAGGGGGCCUGAGAGGGUGAUCCCCCGCACUGGUACUGAGACACGGACCAGACUCCUACGGGAGGCAGCAGUGAGGAAUAUUGGUCAAUGGGUGCAAGCCUGAACCAGCCAUCCCGCGUGAAGGACGACUGCCCUAUGGGUUGUAAACUUCUUUUGUAUAGGGAUAAACCUACCCUCGAGAGGGUAGCUGAAGGUACUAUACGAAUAAGCACCGGCUAACUACGUG